rnacentral:rRNA from 1 species
UACGAGUACCCCAAGCGUUAUCCGGAAUCAUUGGGCGUAAAGGGUGUGUAGGUGGUCUACUUAGUCUUCUGUCAAAAUUUGGGGCUCAACCCCAGACUUGCAGUGGAAACGGGUAGACUCGAGGAUGCGAGAGGUGAAUGGAACUCAUGGAGUAGGGGUGAAAUGCGCAGAUAUCAGGAGGAACACCGGUGGCGAAGGCGGGUCUCUGGGCCGAUACUGACGCUGAGGAGCGAAAGCGUGGGGAGCGAACAGGAUUAGAAACCCCCUGGUAGUCCGAGCACGAAGC